UGUCUCCUUUUUCUAAUCAGUGAAACUAAUCUCCCCGUGAAGAAGCGGGGAUACCCCUAUAAGACGAGAAGACCCCAUGGAGCUUUAAACCCAACUACACUCCCGACUCUCAAAACCACUAAACUCCCGGGAUCCUACUACGUUGGUUUUAGGUUGGGGCGACCACGGAGUACAAUAAAACCUCCACAAUGAACAGGACUAUUCCUUUAUCUAAGAGCUACACCUCUAAGAAUUGACACAUCAANAUAAUAUGAUCCAUUUUUUGAUCAAUGAACCAAGUUACCCUGGGGAUAACAGCGCAAUCCAUUUCAAGAGCCCCUAUCGACAAAUGGGUUUACGACCUCGAUGUUGGAUCAGGGUAUCCCAGUGGUGCAGCAGCUACUAACGGUUUGUUUGUUCAACAAUUAAAACCCU
rnacentral:rRNA from 1 species